UGUUAGCCCCGGUUGAAGUGAAAAUCCUCCCGAUUUUUUUCGGGAGAUUGUAACGGAAAACGGGACGAUAU
rnacentral:sRNA from 1 species